UACGGAGGGUGCAAGCGUUGUUCGGAAUCAUUGGGCGUAAAGCGCGUGUAGGCGGUUACGUAAGUCUGGUGUGAAAUCCCGGGGCUUAACCCCGGAAGUGCAUUGGAUACUGCGCAACUAGAGGACGAGAGAGGAUGGUGGAAUUCCUGGUGUAGGGGUGAAAUCCGUAGAUAUCAGGAGGAACAUCGGUGGCGAAGGCGGCCAUCUGGCUCGUAUCUGACGCUGAGACGCGAAAGCGUGGGGAGCAAAC
rnacentral:rRNA from 1 species